rnacentral:misc_RNA from 1 species
AAGUCGUAACAAGGUUUCCGUAGGUGAACCUGCGGAAGGAUCAUUAACACGUAUCCAACGUUAAACCCCCCCGUGAACCUUUAUUGUGGCACGCCUAUCCGUUAGAAAGUGGCAAUCCCUGGUAAAUCAUCACUUCUGCGUGGGUAGGACAACUGCGCGAGCAAGUGACCUGGCAUCCCUCUGCUUGUUAGUGUCUGAAAGUGUCACUAGCUCUGUAGCCAACACGGCCGGCGACCGGGUCAAUGGGCCCUCGGCCCCCUAGAUCACCCCUUUGCAUGAAAACGGGCCUGCGCUUAAUUGUGCGGCCACCAAACUCGAACAACUGUUAACAAUGGAUAUCUUGGUUCUC